rnacentral:rRNA from 1 species
GUCUACAGCCAUGCCACCCUGAACAAGCCCGAUCCCGUCUGAUCUCGGAAGCUAAGCAGGGUCGGGCCUGGCUAGUACUCGGAUGGGAGACCACCUAGGAAGACCAGGUGCUGUAGGUG